UACGUAGGGUGCAAGCGUUGUCCGGAAUUAUUGGACGUAAAGAGCUCGUAGGCGGUCUGUCGCGUCGGCUGUGAAAACCUGGGGCUUAACUCCGGGCCUGCAGCCGAUACGGGCAGACUAGAGUUCGGCAGGGGAGACUGGAAUUCCUGGUGUAGCGGUGGAAUGCGCAGAUAUCAGGAGGAACACCGGUGGCGAAGGCGGGUCUCUGGGCCGAAACUGACGCUGAGGAGCGAAGGCGUGGGGAGCAAACAGG
rnacentral:rRNA from 1 species